rnacentral:rRNA from 1 species
UACGGAGGGGGGCGAGCGUUGUUCGGAAUUACUGGGCGUAAGGGCGCGUAGGCGGCGCGGUAAGUCACUUGUGAAAUCUCUGAGCUUAACUCAGAACGGCCAAGUGAUACUGCAGUGCUAGAGUGCAGAAAGGGCAAUCGGAAUUCUUGGUGUAGCGGUGAAAUGCGUAGAUAUCGUGAGGAACACCAGAGGCGAAGGCGGCUACCUGGACAAGUUGCUGACGCUCAGGCACGGAAAGCGAGUGGG